CAACAACAGACAGAUUGUGCUUCUCUGAAAACAUCAAUGGAUGAAAUGUAUCAAACAUGCAAUGUGCAAUCUCAAGGGAGUCUACAGAACCAACUACUUACCAACCACGCAGAGAUCUUCCUGUGCUUGAAAGGAAACAGAAUGGAUAACAACGCUAUGGGAAAGUGAACUUCGAAGAGGAUACAAAGAGACUUUUAAAAGUUUAGUGGACAAACCAAUGAAAGAUGGAAUAAAAUGUAGAAAAAUGUGAAGCUGUGCAUGGUGGUAAGAAAUACUGAAAAACAAGCUUUUCUUUGUAAAGGUGAGUCAAUGAAAAUUUUACAGCGUGGGCCAAGCCCCUUUCGUAGAUUUCCUAACAUGGAACUGCUUUGUUGAACCAACCCAUAUUCUUCAUAUGUAAAUAUCUAUGAGUUCUAUGUUGAAUAUAUUCAUUGACUAAGCUACCACAAUCCUCCUGGGUACAGAAUCCGAUUUACUUCCUAUUUGCCUGGUGAAUACUAAGGCGCUUAGUGACAUGGUCUUACCUUCAAUGGAACUGGCCAUUGACUUCAGGAAGGGUGUGAUGCACAUGCCCCUGUCUGCAUCAGAGGUGCUAACAUUGAGAGGGUUGAACGUUUGAACUUCCUGGGAGUGAACAUCAGCAACAGCCUGCCUUAGUCCAACCAGAUGUCACAGUCAAAAAAAAAACUCUGCACCAGCACCUCUACUUUGUCAAGAGGCUGAGAAAUUUGGCGUGUCCUCUUUGACUCUCAUCAAUUUUUAAUCAAUGCACGAUGGAAAGUAUCCUAUCCUGAUGCACUGCAGUUUAGUACGGCAAUGGUUCUGCCUGUGAACACGAGAAGCUGCCGCAAGUUGUAGACACAGAUUAGUACGUCACAGGAGCAUGCA